rnacentral:lncRNA from 10 species
GCCAGGACACCUGCGAACAGAUACCAGCUGCCUGGAGUCUGUCAGUUGCUGAGGAGGCAUAGGAAGAAACUAGUUCACCCAUGUCUCUCUUACACACAGGUUAAAAUCAACCUGUCAAAUCUCAUGAAAAACCUGGUGAAGUUUUGUUGGAAUUGUAUUAUACUGGAUGAUCAAUUUGGAGAGAUUUGACAGCUCCAGAAUAUGAAGAAUUUCUGGCUACAAAUAUGAUCCUGAAUUCCAGUGGAAUGGCUGAUACCAAGCAGCAUGAAGACCCCCCCAGAGGAGCACUAUCAGCAUGAAGACCCCUGCAGAGGAGCCUAAUCAGGAUGAGAAUGAGAUAGGCUCCUGCAAGGCCACAGAGUGUAUGUCCUCCCAGCUGGACGAAGCAAGCCUGCCCCUGACACCUGCAGGGCUCCAAGCAAGAACAUAAAUGGAGACCCUCAUACCACAGACCAGAAUUUAGAGAUUAUACAUCAAAAUCUCAAACUGCUAAAUAUACUACAUUCUAACCUCUUACUACUUCAGAAAUGUCUUCAUAACAACAAAUCAGGAAAAUAUUAACAAGGCUUUGGGUGUGUGGGUGCGUGUGUGUGUGUGUGUUGUUGUUGUUGUUGUUGUUUGCUUUUUUGAGACAGGGUUUCACUCUGUUGCUCAGGCUGGAGUGCAGUGAUGCAGUCAUGGCUCACUGCAGCCUUGACCUUCUGGGCUCAAGCAGUCCUCCUGCCUCAACCUCCCAAGUGGCUGGGAACACAGGUGUGUGUCACUAUGCCUUCCUGAUGUUUUUACAUUUUGUGGAGACAGGGUCUUCCUAUGUGGCUCAGGCUAUUCUGGAACUCCUAGGCUCAAGCAGUCUUCCCACCUUGGCCUUCCAAAGUGCUGGGGUUACAUGUGUGAGCCACUGUGCACAGGCUAUGGGUUUUAUACAACUAAAGGGUGGCAAUAUUUCAAAAAUGACUGAAUUAAAUUUGGAUUCUGAGUAUUCUGUUUAUGGAUUGUUUUUGUUUAUAGUAGAGUAUUUUGUUUAUAUAUAGGUAAGAAAAUUAAAACACAUGUGUGAUUCAUACAUUAUUAUAUAUUUAGUGUAUAAAAUUUAUUGUUCUUGUGUUCAUUUCAGCAAAAUCAUGAAUUGGCUAUUUUUAAUAUCAUCAUAUAAUUCAUAUUCUAGCGAUAACGUUGUUUAGAUGAUGAAGAUAUUAAAUGUAUAUAUUGCAGGUGGUAUGAAAAAACAUGUUAAAUAAAAUUGUAUUCAAAAUGCUCAAAAUUUGGAUGCAUUUUUAUCAUAAAUGUAGAUCAUAAUAAAUAAG